AGAUAUGAUCUUUUAAAAAUAUUUACCGUUUAUUAUCUUUUAGGUUUUAGAUUAGUUUAUAUUUUUAUUCAUUUGAUUUCGGCGAAGGAUUCUCUUGGAAUUAUGCCAGAUUGGUGGCCUUGUCCAGCUAGCGAACCGUACGCGCAGACUGCCGGCAUCAAGUCUGGUUUACGCGAUGGUAUGCCGAUGGACGGUAGACAGGAGAACCCCUACAUCUGCCGUUCUUGCUGUUGCGGCACCGGUCGACCGUAUCGUUCUAACGCAUGGUAUUACCCGUGCUGCCGAUGGAUAGAAUAAAAGUAUUUACUGCAAUCUUUCAACUUAAAUUUAAGUAUUCUAAUAUGUUACAACUUUGAAACAAUAAACAGAGUAAAAGUGAA